UUUAGAAGAUGGAUUAGUGCUGUAUUCUGAAUUUCUGAUCGAAGUUGCAUCAUUUAUUAUUCUGGUUACUGAGUAUCUAUAGAAAAGUCCUGCAUAAAUUUCACAGUAAAAACUGGGAUAGUGUAGUUAUUAAUUCUUAGGAUUAGUACACGGAAGGCACAUCAUUUCAGACUUACUAGCAAAAUUGCAAAACCAUGAUAUACUUGUAUUUGAAACGUUAGUUGUUUUUUCAGUGUUUCUACUGAAGAGCUUCAUGAAGCUAUUCAUUUCCAUAGCAUGUUUACGAGAUAAUCCAAAUAGUGUUGCAUUUCAUUUACAAACCAUGAUGGAGCAAUUUGAAGCUAAUGCUGCAUGCAAUAUUUUUUUUAGCCAAGAGAAAGCUUUGUUGAUUAACUAAUAACGUUAUCAUAAUCAUUUUGAAGAAGCAUUGGCACAAACGCUAGGAACCUAUUAAGUAUAAUAUCCCCUACUACAUCCUGCUUCACUAGUUUAGAUAUUGAUGAGCAGGAAUACACUAGUAUGCACAAACUAUUGGUGUAGAGGAAAUCCUGACUAUUUUCACUCCUACUUGCACACAGAAACAAGAGAGGGUGUUGCUUUGGAAACCUGAAUGCUAAAGAAAUACAGUAUAUAAGCAGCUAAGCAUGUUAUAUUGCCAGACAUGAACCCCCUGUCAAAACAUUCUUAGAUCUCAAACUAUUGUUUGUUAUGUCAAUUCUAUUUAAUUUUGCAACAAUUGUUUUUUGCAGGGCUGAUUCACAAGGUAUAACCUGAAUUUAUCUCACUGGGUUCAGGCAAGCAAGCACCCUCGACACAUCGGGCAGGAUCAUGGACUUCUCAUGGUACACCUUCACAACAGGAGCUCCCGCCCCGGUGCCGAGCCCUGCCAUGGUGGCCAGAGCUCUCUCUCCUCUGGUUGAAGAAGUGAAGCCGGAGCUGUAUGCAAGUGAGUACUGUAAGCCCACCUUCAUUUUUUUAAUAUAAGAAGGUCAUCUGCCUCCAUGAAGAAGCAAAGAGAAGAUGCUUAAAGUGAGAACCAAGGAGGUGAGUGUACGGGACGAUAGAAAUAGAUAGAGGCAGGAUAAAGAAAAGGAAAAGACAGAGAACAAAGGAGAGAAAAAGCAAAAGGUAAAAGUGAAGUAAAUCUGGAGGGUUUUGAUUUUCGAUGGUGUUCUUUAGGUGUUGCCAUCAUGAGGGUCACAUCAGCAAUGCUAAGGUACUGUCUAUUUAAAGGGAAAGGGGUGAAAACAAAGUCAAAAGCUAUUUCUUGGACACCGCCUCUUUUAGUAACCAAUCGACUCACACGGGAAACGUCUCAAAUGAAGUAACGGACACUGUUCUAUUUGUUGGGUUAUGUCUCGCUUUAUUCAUUUCUUGGCCCUUUAACCAAAGGAGAUGCGGAAUGCCGGUACGGGAGCACGGAGGUUUUGUCUAGGAAGGCAAGUUUAGCAUCAGACCUGUAUGGCCCCUUCCUUGUACCAGCCCCCCAGUCUACCAGACAAACGGGAUGAGUGAUGGGCAUCCAGGGUGCCUUUGUUGUUUGUAUCACCAGCCUGACCGACAUGGGGACUUCAGACAGAGGAUACCUCAGUAAAUUGCCAAUCACGGGCCAUCUAGGAAGCAUGUGCUGCAACGUAGGUAGAAUCAUGUGUUGUCCAAGUGUGUGCAGUUUUUGUGGAGUGAAUUGAGUACCGAGUAUUAUGCUUCAUUUUUGUGGAUCAGAACCGGAACGAGUUAGAAUAGAAUGAAGCAUAACACUAUGAAAGUAUUAAGCAAAGUAUCAAGUAUUCAGAGAGUUUGCAGUCCUGCUGGAGCGAUGGGGUUCUUGUUUCCUGUCACCCUGGUAAAUUCCUCAGUUUGUCGUUGUAGCUUAUUUCAAGGGUAUCCAACAUGUCUUUCUUCUGGUCUGGCUGCACGUGAAGCUUCUGUUGGGAGCUCAAGAGCUCCUGUAGAUUCUGAGUGGGCACUCUUUGUACCUGUCGAGGAUUUCAUAUAUUGUAACCAGCAUCAUAUGUGGCGGGGUUACUUCAGGAAAUAAUCUGCAGUUGAUAGCUCAUCAUGGUGGAUGGGCGUCUAGCCCAGUGGCAAGAGCGUGGCUGUGCGCCUUGGCUUACUCAAGUUCAAAUCAUGUGCCGCGAUGAUGAUGAAGACAUGGAAGAAGGAGGCUGAAGACACAUAACCCGGAAGCCUGUGUGCUGGAUGUGAAAAAUGUCUUUUGAUAAACUGGGUUUGAGGAAGUGUGGGAAGGCUGUGCGUUGGGUGGACAAAGGAAGAGCGCAGGAAGUCCCUAGUACUAAUCACACAUUAGCGGCAGCUACAGGAAAUCUGCAAGGAUAUUUCAUAUCCAUUCCUGCCAAUACAUGACGUAAACAGAGUAGCUUACUUUAGUUCGGAACCAGUGUUCAGUAUUUGUGUUGUGUGCCUCGCCAAAGAAAGAAGUACUGUAUUAGUGUCCGUCAUGCAAGUGACCCGGAUACCAACAAGAGCGUAAAUUUUUUCAACUGUAUCCUUCGUUCUCCAUCUUAAUUUCUUUUAGUGCCUGACAAA